AAAUUGAAGAGUUUGAUCAUGGCUCAGAUUGAACGCUGGCGGCAGGCCUAACACAUGCAAGUCGAACGGUAACAGGAAGCAGCUUGCUGCUUCGCUGACGAGUGGCGGACGGGUGAGUAAUGUCUGGGAAACUGCCUGAUGGAGGGGGAUAACUACUGGAAACGGUGGCUAAUACCGCAUAACGUCGCAAGACCAAAGAGGGGGACCUUCGGGCCUCUUGCCAUCAGAUGUGCCCAGAUGGGAUUAGCUGGUUGGUGAGGUAACGGCUCA
rnacentral:rRNA from 2 species